UGGUUAUUAGACGAUAAAUUCUCACCAAUUUUGUAUAAAUGCCUAAGCGUACAUAAAUAUAUCUUAUAAUAUGGUUUCUUUAACAUUAAGCAAAAUGCAGAUUUAGAAAAAGUAAGGACAAAGUCACAAGAAGGGUCAUGCAUGGUCAAACAUUAUUGAUGCAGUUGAAUAGUUCUCAGAAAUAUGUAUCAGUAUAUUAAGUUGGAUAAAAAUAUUAUUCAUGAUUUCCUUAAAACUGAGCUAAACACUAAUUUAAGAAAAGUGAGGUCAAGGUAAAAAAAAUGUUGAUGCAGUUGAACAGCUUACAACAGUAUUUAUUAGCAUAUGAUGUACAUAAACAAGAGAUGUUUGUAAAACACUUAUGCCCCCCUCCCCCCAAAUUGGAUUUUUUCUAAGUCCAAAAGGGCACAACUUUGACAAAAAGGGUGCGAUCGUACCCAAAACAGAACUUGACCUAGAUAUUCAGCUGAAAAAUCUGUAUACUAAAUUUCAUUUCAAUAUGUGCAACCUCUGCAAAGAAAA